rnacentral:rRNA from 1 species
UACGUAGGGGGCAAGCGUUGUCCGGAAUCAUUGGGCGUAAAGCGCGUGUAGGCGGCUCGGUAAGUCUGCUGUGAAAGUCCAGGGCUCAACCCUGGGAUGCCGGUGGAUACUGUCGAGCUCGAGUCCGGAAGAGGCGAGUGGAAUUCCUGGUGUAGCGGUGAAAUGCGCAGAUAUCAGGAGGAACACCAAUUGCGAAGGCAGCUCGCUGGGACGUCACUGACGCUGAGACGCGAAAGCGUGGGGAGCAAACAGG